rnacentral:rRNA from 1 species
AGCUUGCUUUUUAAGCUUAGUGGCGAACGGGUGAGUAACGCGUGAGUAACCUGCCCUAGAGUGGGGGACAACAGUUGGAAACGACUGCUAAUACCGCAUAAGCCCACGGUACCGCAUGGUGCUGAGGGAAAAGGAUUUAUUCGCUUUAGGAUGGACUCGCGUCCAAUUAGCUAGUUGGUGAGGUAACGGCCCACCAAGGCGACGAUUGGUAGCCGGACUGAGAGGUUGAACGGCCACAUUGGGACUGAGACACGGCCCAGACUCCUACGGGAGGCAGCAGUGGGGGAUAUUGCACAAUGGGGGAAACCCUGAUGCAGCGACGCCGCGUGGAGGAAGAAGGUUUUCGGAUUGUAAACUCCUGUCGUUAGGGACGAUAAUGACGGUACCUAACAAGAAAGCACCGGCUAACUACGUGCCAGCAGCCGCGGUAAAACGUAGGGUGCAAGCGUUGUCCGGAAUUACUGGGUGUAAAGGGAGCGCAGGCGGGAAGACAAGUUGGAAGUGAAAACCAUGGGCUCAACCCAUGAAUUGCUUUCAAAACUGUUUUUCUUGAGUAGUGCAGAGGUAGAUGGAAUUCCCGGUGUAGCGGUGGAAUGCGUAGAUAUCGGGAGGAACACCAGUGGCGAAGGCGGUCUACUGGGCACCAACUGACGCUGAGGCUCGAAAGCAUGGGUAGCAAACAGGAUUAGAUACCCUGGUAGUCCAUGCC